rnacentral:rRNA from 1 species
UACGGGGGGGGCAAGCGUUGUUCGGAAUUACUGGGCGUAAAGGGCUCGUAGGCGGCCAACUAAGUCAGACGUGAAAUCCCUCGGUUUAACCGGGGAACUGCGUCUGAUACUGGAUGGCUUGAAUCCGGGAGAGGGAUGCGGAAUUCCAGGUGUAGCGGUGAAAUGCGUAGAUAUCUGGAGGAACACCGGUGGCGAAGGCGGCAUCCUGGACCGGCAUUGACGCUGAGGAGCGAAAGCCAGGGGAGCAAACGGG